rnacentral:lncRNA from 1 species
AGUAGUAUAUAUUCUAUAUAAGUAGUGUAUAAUGUGUUGUAGUUAGUAAUUAGUAUAAAUUGUAUAUAAGUAGUAUAUAUUGAUAAAAGAAUGUUGUCAUUAGUAUAUUGUGUUGUAUGUUAUAUAUUAUAUGUUAUAUAAAUAUUCAAGGAUUGAUAUCGAAGUAAAGACAAAGAAAUAUUGAGAGAAAAAAUAUUCAAGGAUAUGAUAAAGAGCAUAUUUGUUGACCAAAAUGGCAUAUAUUUCUUAGUCUUCCUUCCUCCAAUGGAAUGAGCACAACAUG